rnacentral:rRNA from 1 species
UACGGAGGGUGCAAGCGUUUAUCCGGAUUCACUGGGUUUAAAGGGUGCGUAGGAGGGCAGGGAAGUCCGUGGUGAAAUCUCCGAGCUUAACUCGGAAACUGCCGUGGAUACUCUCUGUCUUGAAUCCCGUGGAGAUGAGCGGAAUAUGUCAUGUAGCGGUGAAAUGCUUAGAUAUGACAUAGAACACCAAUUGCGAAGGCAGCUCGUUACACGAAGAUUGACUCUGAGGCACGAAAAGCGUGGGGGAUCAAAACAGG